GGUGGAACGUUCUCUGGGGUUUCUCCUGCUAUUGCACCUGCACGUUGCUUCUCUCGUGGAUGUUUUUCUGCUCAGUGUCUACACGAGAGAGUGAGAGAAGCCAUUGCCCCGUUGAUCCACUGAUGAUCUGUUUACAGGUUAUGUGGAAAAGCCUGUGCUUGAUGGAGAUGUAAAGCAGAUGACCACAGCAUCCCAGGUCCCAAGAGGGGACUGUUUUAGUAAUUUUCUACUGGGCAAACUGAAUUUGUCAGGUCUCAGGUUUAACUUUCUUCUUUCUUCCUGGCAAUCUCCACGCAGCUGUUUUUACUUACACUCUCGCGCACCUGUUUGUUAUUUCCUCAUUCUCUUUUGACUCCUUAUAGUCAGCCUCUGCUUUCCUUUCCGUUGCCAGUGUGUUGAUUCUUGCACGAUAACCACUAGUCCUCUUGUCUUGUUGUGUUUCUAAUACUCUUCCCUCCAGUUGCAUUGCUGGUUUCUUGUACGCAGGCUGAUCGUCUCGUCGCUGCCUUCCUUUUGGAUUACCCGGUUUGGAUUACAUCUGCUGUCCACUCUACUACGGUUCUGCUUAAUUCCCUUGGAUGACGUUCGCACCUCGCCUGACCCUGCCUGUCUGACACAGAGUUCGCUUCAACCCUACGGAUC